rnacentral:lncRNA from 1 species
GUGGAGUUUAUGUUUCAGGGACAGAGCUCAGUGAAGGGGCCUAACAUUGUGCUGGGUGUACAAUAGGCACUCACUGUCACCUGGGCAUUUAGAAACAGUCCUUAUCAUCUCUGAGCUUGUACUCUGGAAAGAAAACUGACCCGAAGCUGUUAAUAGCCACACGGCAGCACACUGCUGUGACAUGGUGUGUAUAGUGAGUCACACUGAGUUUUACUGGUCCAGAGAGGAGGACAUCAAUGUGACUGAAGCCGUGGGCAAGGCCUGGAGAAACAGGAUGGGCCUGAACUAGAUCGCACAGAGUUCCCCAUGUUGAGACCUUUCCUUUUGAAGACUUCAUCUCACAGCAAACUGACAUGGCAACACCACGGAGGUGGUGACGAUCGGGUUUCAAAGGACAACACAGCACGCUGAUGAGAAGCAAUCACCAGAAAGCAAGGACUCCUAAGCCUUGCAAGAUAAAAGGGCCUUCUUUUCUUGGCAAGCUCCAGGGAUGAUCCGCAAUGACGAACGAUAUGACUGUUAUCUUGACACCGUACUCUCCCAUGUUGAAACUGUUUAUGAGAACCACGCAUCAUAUGAAGAACAGAUUGCCAGACGCUAAUUUCUGCUUCUGGAGCAAAGACUUGCUUGAAUCAUGUCAAGGCUGAAGCA